rnacentral:rRNA from 1 species
UACGGGGGGAGCAAGCGUUGUUCGGAUUUACUGGGCGUAAAGGGCGCGUAGGCGGCGCAACAAGUCACUUGUGAAAUCUCCGGGCUUAACCCGGAGCGGCCAAGUGAUACUGUCGUGCUAGAGUGCGGAAGGGGCUACUGGAAUUCUCGGUGUAGCGGUGAAAUGCGUAGAUAUCGAGAGGAACACCUGCGGCGAAGGCGGGUAUCUGGGCCGACACUGACGCUGAGGCGCGAAAGCCAGGGGAGCGAACGGG